rnacentral:rRNA from 1 species
AGAGUUUGAUCCUGGCUCAGGACGAACGCUGGCGGCGUGCCUAAUACAUGCAAGACGAGCGAGCUUGCCUAGAUGAUUUUAGUGCUUGCACUAAAUGAAACUAGAUACAAGCGAGCGGCGGACGGGUGAGUAGCACGUGGGUAACCUGCCCAAGAGACUGGGAUAACACCUGGAAACAGAUGCUAAUACCGGAUAACAACACUAGACGCAUGUCUAGAGUUUGGAAGAUGGUUCUGCUAUCACUCUUGGAUGGACCUGCGGUGCAUUAGCUAGUUGGUAAGGUAACGGCUUACCAAGGCAAUGAUGCAUAGCCGAGUUGAGAGACUGAUCGGCCACAUUGGGACUGAGACACGGCCCAAACUCCUACGGGAGGCAGCAGUAGGGAAUCUUCCACAAUGGACGAAAGUCUGAUGGAGCAACGCCGCGUGAGUGAAGAAGGGUUUCGGCUCGUAAAGCUCUGUUGGUAGUGAAGAAAGAUAGAGGUAGUAACUGGCCUUUAUUUGACGGUAAUUACUUAGAAAGUCACGGCUAACUACGUGCCAGCAGCCGCGGUAAUACGUAGGUGGCAAGCGUUGUCCGGAUUUAUUGGGCGUAAAGCGAGUGCAGGCGGUUCAAUAAGUCUGAUGUGAAAGCCUUCGGCUCAACCGGAGAAUUGCAUCAGAAACUGUUGAACUUGAGUGCAGAAGAGGAGAGUGGAACUCCAUGUGUAGCGGUGGAAUGCGUAGAUAUAUGGAAGAACACCAGUGGCGAAGGCGGCUCUCUGGUCUGCAACUGACGCUGAGGCUCGAAAGCAUGGGUAGCGAACAGGAUUAGAUACCCUGGUAGUCCAUGCCGUAAACGAUGAGUGCUAAGUGUUGGGAGGUUUCCGCCUCUCAGUGCUGCAGCUAACGCAUUAAGCACUCCGCCUGGGGAGUACGACCGCAAGGUUGAAACUCAAAGGAAUUGACGGGGGCCCGCACAAGCGGUGGAGCAUGUGGUUUAAUUCGAAGCAACGCGAAGAACCUUACCAGGUCUUGACAUCCAGUGCAAACCUAAGAGAUUAGGUGUUCCCUUCGGGGACGCUGAGACAGGUGGUGCAUGGCUGUCGUCAGCUCGUGUCGUGAGAUGUUGGGUUAAGUCCCGCAACGAGCGCAACCCCUAUUUCCAGUAGCCAGCAGUAAGAUGGGAACUCUGGAGAGACUGCCGGGGACAACCCGGAGGAAGGUGGGGACGACGUCAAAUCAUCAUGCCCCUUAUGGGCUGGGCUACACACGUGCUACAAUGGUGCCAACAGAGUGAGGCGACCCCGCGAGGGCAGGCAAAUCACAAAAAUGGCAUCCCAGUUCGGAUUGCAGUCUGCAACUCGACUGCAUGAAGCUGGAAUCGCUAGUAAUCGCGAAUCAGAAUGUCGCGGUGAAUACGUUCCCGGGUCUUGCACUCACCGCCCGUCA